GUAGGUGAACCUGCGGAAGGAUCAUUAUUGAGUUUUAAAAGGCUUAGUGGUUGGCACUUUGCUGGUCAUUAAGCUUUUUGUUAUUCUCUUCUCCCUUUUGUUAUCAUUUCUUAGUUGCCUUGGCAGUUAGCAAUAGCUGCCAAGGGAAAAUUUUAAACUCAAUUGUUACCAAGAUAAUUGGACAUGAUAGUCAGAAAAUAAUUAUUUUUAAUAGUUAAAAAACUUUCAACAAUGGAUCUCUUGGUUCUGG
rnacentral:misc_RNA from 1 species